CGCAUCUGGGCAGCCGGCGCCGAAGCAUGAACAGCUCGCAGGAGGGCGCCACGGCCCGGGGCGCCUGGCAGAGCUCCUGCUGCAACCAGUCGGGGGUGCCGCUGGAGCCCCCCGAGGGGCCGCGCGCCGUGCAGGCGGCGGUGCUGGGCGUGCUGUCGCUGCUCGUGCUGUGCGGGGUCCUCUUCCUGGCCGCCGGCCUCCUGCUCCGCGCCCAGGGUUUAAGGGCGCUGCUGGCCCGAGAGCUGCGCUCGUCCCGGGAGGGCGAGCCCGGCGGCGCCAGCGUCGAUGACGACGACGACUCCUAGGCGCCCGGCUGCGUUCGGGGGUCGCGGCCUCCCGGCGAUCCGUGGACUCCAUGCCAGACUUUGAGGGAACCGUCCCCCAGCACCCGACGUCUGCAGCGGGGAGCCCUGCCCGAUGCUGGUGCGCUCGCACAGAGUCACCUCUCUGCUGGAAGGAGCCACGUCUAGCUCACUUUUGGAUUCCCAGCGCCCCACACAGUGCUGAGCACAUAAUGGCGCCACAGGACCGUACCCCUUCCCACCUGUGCGAUCCGUUUGGGGGAGAUGACAGAAGCCAGAAACCAGAGAAACCCUUUGCAAGAGAGAACCCCUUUCAACUGGGGAACGAAACACUAGCCGACGCUUAAAACAGGCAGUGACUUGCUGAUUCCUGCAGCUUGCUCUUCUCAGCGUGAACUCUGGUUGACCAUAGGGUCUGCAGGACUCUGGGCCAAUGCAUAGGUGAAGAUGACAGAGCCCAGUUUUGAGGACAUUGGGGAUAACAAAAUGAUUUUAUUACACAUCGUAAA